rnacentral:rRNA from 1 species
AUUGAACGCUGGCGGCAGGCCUAACACAUGCAAGUCGAACGAGUGGCGGACGGGUGAGUCAUGUCUGGGAAACUGCCCGAUGGAGGGGGAUACCUACUGGAAACGGUAGCUAAUACCGCAUACCAUCGGAUGUGCCCAGAUGGGAUUAGCUAGUAGGUGGGGUAACGGCUCACCUAGGCGACGAUCCCUAGCUGGUCUGAGCGGAUGACCGGCCACACUGGAACUGAGACACGGUCCAGACUCCUACGGGGGGCAGCAGUGGGGAAUAUUGCAAAAGGGGGGCAAGCCUGAUGCAGCCAGGCCGCGUGUAGGAAGAAGGCCUUCGGUUGGUAAAGUACUUUCAGCGAGGAGGCGUUACUCGCAGAAGAAGCACCGGCUAACUCCGUGCCAGCAGCCGCGGUAAUUC